rnacentral:rRNA from 1 species
UACGUAGGAUGCAAGCGUUGUCCGGAAUUAUUGGGCGUAAAGAGCGCGCAGGCGGUCUAUCAAGUCAGAUGUAAAAUAUCCCGGCUUAACCGGGAGGGGUCAUUUGAAACUGGUAGACUAGAGUACAGCAGAGGAUAGUGGAAUUCCCGGUGUAGUGGUGAAAUGCGUAGAUAUCAGGAGGAACACCCGAGGCGAAGGCGGCUCUCUGGGUCGUACCUGACGCUGAGGCGCGAAAGCGUGGGGAGCGAACGGG